rnacentral:rRNA from 1 species
AUGCAAGUCCAGCGGUAGAGAGAAGCUUGCUUCUCUUGAGAGCGGCGGACGGGUGAGUAAUACCUAGGAAUCUGCCUGAUAGUGGGGGAUAACGUUCGGAAACGGACGCUAAUACCGCAUACGUCCUACGGGAGAAAGCAGGGGACCUUCGGGCCUUGCGCUAUCAGAUGAGCCUAGGUCGGAUUAGCUAGUUGGUGAGGUAAUGGCUCACCAAGGCUACGAUCCGUAACUGGUCUGAGAGGAUGAUCAGUCACACUGGAACUGAGACACGGUCCAGACUCCUACGGGAGGCAGCAGUGGGGAAUAUUGGACAAUGGGCGAAAGCCUGAUCCAGCCAUGCCGCGUGUGUGAAGAAGGUCUUCGGAUUGUAAAGCACUUUAAGUUGGGAGGAAGGGCAGUUACCUAAUACGUGAUUGUCUUGACGUUACCGACAGAAUAAGCACCGGCUAACUCUGUGCCAGCAGCCGCGGUAAU